UACGUAGGGUGCAAGCGUUGUCCGGAAUUAUUGGGCGUAAAGAGCUCGUAGGCGGUCUGUCGCGUCUGCUGUGAAAACUCGGGGCUCAACCCCGAGCCUGCAUACGAUACGGGCAGACUUGAGUUCGGCAGGGGAGACUGGAAUUCCUGGUGUAGCGGUGAAAUUCGUAGAUAUCGGGAGGAACACCGGUGGCGAAGGCGGCGACCUGGGUAGAUACUGACGCUGAGGUGCGAAAGCGUGGGGAGCAAACAGG
rnacentral:rRNA from 1 species